AUGCCUUUACUUGGUUUUUUCCAUUCUGAGCCCGGGAAUGGACUUUGGAAGCGCAAAGCCGAUUCUGCUUUCCAAACUUGCACGACAGUAAAAUCAUUUCUUGAAGAAACUAUGGUAGCAAUUCCAGACUCGGUUUUGGACUCUUCGUUUGCGAAAUCACCGCCUGGGCGUGAAGAUCUUUUUGCUAACAUUGACAGUUUAUUGCCUCUUCCAUACAGAACAAGAGAUGAGGAUUCUGUUUACAUGCAUUAG